rnacentral:rRNA from 1 species
UACGGAGGGGGCUAGCGUUGUUCGGAAUUACUGGGCGUAAAGCGCACGUAGGCGGCUUUGUAAGUUAGAGGUGAAAGCCCGGGGCUCAACCGUGUGGUCUGCAGUCGAUACGGGCAGGCUGGAGUUCGGUAGGGGAGACUGGAAUUCCUGGUGUAGCGGUGAAAUGCGUAGAUAUCUGGAGGAACACCAGUGGCGAAAGCGCGUGACUGGGCCACAACUGACGCUGAGGAACGAAAGCCAGGGGAGCGAAAGGG